ensembl:lncRNA
CUGCCAGUUCCUUGUGUGGCAGGUAACAGAGGGUUCGUAUCUACUUUCUGAAAGGCACUCAAUGCACUUAACUGACGUGAGCUAGCCAGCCUGCCAGGUAGAACAAUUUCAGAAAAAGGCAGAUCAGGCAACAGAGGGCACACAGACAGCAGAGCUGGUGACAGGUGGGCAGGGACAGACUGGCAGAGACAGGGAGUCUCAGGAGACUGAGUCAGUGAGGGUGGUGAAAGGGAAAGAGACAAGGAGAGAGACUUCAGAGGACAGUGUCACAGCCACGGCAGAACCAGGUGUCAACCUUGUUGCCAGCAGCACCAGUAUAGGGGACAGUGGCACGGCCACGGCAGGACCAGGUGUCAACCUUGUUGCCAGCUGAACCAGUAUAGCGGACAGUGGCACGGCCACGGCAGGACCAGGUGUCAACCUUGUUGCCAGCAGCACCAGUAUAGGGGACAGUGGCACAGCAUUGUCCAGUUACCUCAGUGAUGGCACAAAACAAUAUCAGCCACACCCACAAUUUAUAGAACCGCAAACUCUUGCCAACAGAGUGUUGAGGUUUCAAGAGAGAUGGUUUUGCAAUUUCCCCUAGCUACAUUAUAAUCCAUCAGUAAAAGGAGUUUUGUGUUUUCACUGUAGCCAAGGGUUUUCAAGCCAGCCAUCUUUUGGCCAAAGAGCGGAUGCUGCCUUCAUUAGUGCAGGAUUUAGGAACGGGAGAAAAGCUAUUGUAAAAUUCACAGCACAUCAAAACGGCCAAACCCACCGCCACUGUGUAACUGUAACAGCACACCAGCUAAAUCCAAUCAGUGUCCAGUUAUCCAGCGCGUGGGGUAAACAGCAGAAAUGACAAAAGCUACCUUGCACUGUAUGAGAAAGCAACAACAUUGAUUGAAUCCAUUAAGACACUGUUACGGUUUUCUUGCGGUGAAGGAGAGUCGGACCAAAAUGCAGCGUGGUAUUCUUGAUACAUGUUUAAUGACGAUGAAAAAACGAACAAUACAACAAACGUAACGUGAAAACCUGUAAAGCCUAUCUUUUUUAAAUUUUUAUACAAAAUAAUUUAUUAUCUUCAAUACCAUUCAUUCUUUACAACUCAUAAUUUUCAUACAUACUCAAAUAAUGGUAUUUUAAUUGAACUAAUUUAACUAAACAAAACCCCAAACAAAACCUCAGGGGAGCAUCUUCCCUCCCCGUCACCCUACAAACACCUAUCCCUAUCUCCCCAUCCCUAAUCUAUCCCCUUACAAAUCUAAAUGACACCCAGCCCUAAACCCCCCUUCCACCUCUCCCGAGCAGCAUGCUGCCCCCACUUCCUCUCCUCCCUCUUCAUCCUCCCCCUCAAAUCUCCUUCCACCCUCCUCACUAUCCCUUCCACCCCCCAAUCUCUCCCUGUCUUCACCAUGUUCUGCCUGGCUUCCCACAGCCCCCGUUUAAAGAGACUCAUGAGAAGCCAGAGCAGAAACCUGUCCCUAUCCGUCCCCGACCUCCUCGUACAGGUGCCUGUGAUCUUAGACCACACCAUUACGCUUCUCGCCUGAUACGAGAAGAACACCCGCAGGAGGUAACCGGACGGGUGUAUCACUGGAUGAGCAAGCUCCGUUAACAAGAAAGAAACAAAAAUUGUGUCCAGCUUGAGGGGGAAAUGUGGUACCCCCCUACCUCCCUCCCCGAUGGGACAGAUCAUGUGUGCCCUGGCGACCCACUCGCACCUGCCACUCCACAUGAACUGAAACACAAGCCUCACUAGAGGCCUCCUCAGACAAGCCGGCAAUGGGUAGUUGUACGCCAAAUACAAAAGAGACGGCAACACAUUCACCUUUAGGACCAGGACUUUGCCCAUAAAAGACAAAUACCUAGCCUUCCACAUUGCUAGCUUCCUCUGUACCACUGCGAUACGCAUGUUCCAGUUUAGCGUCGCUGAGCCGGAGGUCUCAAAAUGGACCCCGAGAAUCCUCAGGGCCCCCUCACAGAGAGAGAACCCCCCCAGGCACAUCCGUUCUACUGUGCCAUCUUCCGAAAAACUUGACGGAAGACAUUGCAUGGUUCAGAACCGCUCCCAACGCUCGGGUGAAAUCCCCAAAGAUGGCAAGGGACCUUGUCAGGCACGAGUCCUUGCACAGCAGCAAGGAAGUGUCGUCAGCGUACUGCGCCAUCUUAACACGCAGCCCACCACUUCCAGGGAUCAACAAGCCUUCCACCCCUGUGUCUGCCCUAAUGGCAGCCCCCAGAGGCUCCAUGUACAGAACGAAGAGGAGAGCCGAGAGUGGGCACCCCUGCCUGACCCCAGACGAGAGGUCAAAAACGUCACCCAAGUGACUAUUUACACUAACUCGGCACCCCGCUCCGACAUAUAAUGUACAAAUCCAUCCUAUGAACUUCUCCCCAAAUCCUAAUCGACCUAACACUCUGAAUAAAAAUGAUCUAUUCACGCGAUCAAAGGCUUUCGCCUGAUCUAGCGCUGCUACCAUUAAAGGCAGUCCUCUAUCUUCAACCCAAGCGAUGGAGUCCCUGAUUAACUGUAGGUUCCAUCUAAUAGAGCGGCCCUCUACCCCGCACGUCUGAUCCUCAUGGACGACGUAUGGAGGGGCUGUGCGCAACCGGUCAGCUAAAACCAAUGCAAGUAGCUUGUAAUCUACACACAGCAUGGUCAACGGCCGCCAGUUGCCAAGGUCUGUUAAUUCCCCCUUUUUAUAUAAAAGUGACAGCACACCAACAGCCAUUGAUCCCCCCCGGGACCCCCGUCUCAAGGAUGGCCUUCAAGACUUCGAGGACCACCGGUCCAAGUAUACCCCAAAACUUGAGCUAAAACUCAGCCGGCAGCCCAUCCAUCCCAGGCACCUUCCCUUUUCCCAUCAUUCUAAGAGCGCUCUCAACCUCUUCUAGUGAGAUCUGGGCCUCCAUCACUUCUCUAAUGUCCUCCGGCAACCGCCUGGACAAGUGUUCUAAAAACACAUUUCCCUGCUCUUACAUCUAUUUCCCUUUCCUUAAAUAAACCUUGGAAAUGAUCAGUUGUCACCCUGACCAUAUCCUCUGGUUCUCUAACUAUACUACCAUUUUCUUCCCUAACGCCAUGCAUUACCUUCCUACUCUGUCUGGCCCUAACCGACUUAAAGAACAUAGCAGAACAAGUCUCCUUGUGUUCUAGAAAGCCACUAUGCGCACGCUCCAGGAAAGCUCGAGCCUUCCGCUCCCUGAGCUGCACCUUUAGGGUUGCGGAUCUCUCCCAGUCAAACGACCCGCCGAGGUUGCCUGCCUCGUACUCGAGUUCAAUUAACCUUUGGAUACGAUCCACCUCCCUCCUCUCCUCCCUUUUUUUCCUCUUGCAAUACCCUAUUAUAAAAGCCCUAAUCCUCACCUUAACUAAUUCCCACCACUCUAACACCCCCUCGCACAUGGCCCGGAGGCCUUCAUGCCUCCAAGAGAAACCAUAAAACCCGUCAACAAAAGCCUGCUCCUCCAGCACAUCCCGAUCUAACUUCCAGUACCCCCUAACAAAGAGGCAGACUGACGACCCCAUCUGCAGGAGAACCCCGUCGUGAUCCGAAAAGAAAACAGGCAACAGCCGCCCAGACGACUUACCCAAAGACCUGGGUACAAAAAUAUAGUUGAGCCUCCGCUCAACCCCCCUGGAGUUGCGCCAUGUAGGACCGGCCAUUUUCGGAGUAGUGUGCAGACCACCAUCAACCAGACCAUGGCAAGCCAUUAGCCCGGUAAUGGCGCCUGCACUGCUAUCCCCCCCUAUUCCUAAAUCUGUAUUAAAAUCCACCCUAUCACUAAUUUCCUAUUUGUGACACACAGGGGCGUCAGACAGUCCACCAUCUGCCUCCUGUCUGCCACCACCUGUGGCCCAUACACCACCACUAAUCUAAAUUUACAAUCCCUUAUCGUGACAUCCACCCCUAUAACCCUCCCCUGCAUUACCACAAAAGAAUCCUCCACUUUUACCUCCCUGUGCCCACACAAAAUCCCUACCCC